rnacentral:lncRNA from 10 species
UAGAAGCAAGGAGCCAGCAAGUCUAGCAGACAUGCAAGCCCUGCCUCAGCUUCUCUCCCAACACUCAGCUUUUCUCCCAAUACAGGAACUUUUGGAGGUCACUUCUGGGGCCUUUGCUGAGCAGGCCACUCCUUGCUUCUCCUGCAGAUGACAAGGUUUCCAGCAUGAUUAUUGCUAUGACUGAUGGAACAAUGAUGAAACAUCCAUCUUUGGACACUCUCAAAGAAAAUCCUACCAUGUGGUUAUUCAUGGAAAUGGCUUUCAGAAUCUAAAGAAACGGGAUGAAGUUAUUUGCAGAUUUAUCUUCAGUGAAAGCACUAUCAUUGGGAGUACUUCAUUGAAGUCAGCUUGAACAACGGCAAAACAUUCAAGAGCAAUGUCAGCAUCACCAGCACCACAUGUGGCAAUCUGGAUAUCUUCCGUGACCUCUCUCACCCAAGCUGCUGCCAGGUGCCAUGGAUGUGGUGUCAGCACAGGGGCCAGACUCGUGGAACAAAUACCACGGAGCAGCACCUAGCACAGAGGAAGGCCCCCUGCCCUGGGCAUCUGUGGGAAACCAGGGCCCAAGUCUGCGGUGAGCUGGUGCAGAAACUCUGAGCUGAGGAGCUAACAUUACACCCAUCUGCAACUGAGAGAACCUGCCAGGCUCCAGCAAAACCAAACAGGACAUUCUCCCCAGGAGACACCGUCCUCAUCCAGGGGAACCAGGAUUCUCAUGGAAAAUCAUUUCCUACUGAAGACGAGGUCAGAGGAAAAACUCCCAGGUAUCCCAAAGAGAGGCAGCAGAUACAAGAAACAAGGAGAUUCAAAGCCCAGAGAGUAAAGAGAAUAGAGUGAUCUAAAAGGAACAUUGAAAUAAGGGUGUAUAAAAUGUUCAAAAAAAGAUAAAGGAAUAAAACUAUAUGACAAGAACAGCUAAUUAUAACAAAUGCAGAGUUUUAAAAGGACCGAAGUUCUAAAAUGCAUUAAUGAAAAAUGAAACACAACCAGAAAGUUCAAGACAAAAAGUGGAAUAACUCCAAAGACAGAUCUGAGCAGCAUCUGCCCUGCAGCCCCACUGACCGAGAUGGAAACCAGAAACAGGAUGUUGUGUGCUGGGAGCAGAUAAGGAGUGUCUAGCAGGGCAGCUCACUCCACCAUCCUCAGCCCACUCCACCAUGCUCAG